GACGAACGCUGGCGGCGUGCUUAACACAUGCAAGUCGAACGGAAGGGCUCCAGCUUGCUGGAGUACUCGAGUGGCGAACGGGUGAGUAACACGUGGGUAAUCUGCCCUGCACUCUGGGAUAAGCCUGGGAAACUGGGUCUAAUACUGGAUAUGACCUUUCUCCUUAUGGGGUUUGGUGGAAAGUUUUUCGGUGUAGGAUGAGCCCGCGGCCUAUCAGCUUGUUGGGGGGGUGAUGGCCUACCAAGGCGACGACGGGUAGCCGGCCUGAGGGGGUGAUCGGCCCAAUGGGGAAUGGGAACGGCCCCAACCCCCGACGGGGGGAAGCGGGGGGGAAUUUUGAAAAAGGGGGGGAAGCCUGAGGCAGCGACGCCGGGUGGGGGAGGACGGCCUUCGGGUUGAAAACCUCUUUCAGCGGGGACGAAGCGUAAGGGACGGUACCGGCAAAAGAAGCACCGGCAAACUAUGU
rnacentral:rRNA from 1 species